GUGCAGGGCAGAGAAAGGACAUGGAGGACGGGCAAUGUGUGGUAUGGUGAUCCGUGUGGCUGCAAACAGACAGAGCAACAAGCAGACUGGGCUUCUCUGCUCAUGCGUUUGGGAAGAGGGAUGAGCCCAUCCACGUGCUCCCCAGGCGGCAGUUAAGGUCCAGCCAGGCAGUGGCCUCCUUCCUCCCUGACCUGCACUGCACGGCUGCUUCUGUCUGAUACUCCUCUUCACUCUGCAGUUCGGCCCGUGGUAGGAUGGUGAUUCAAACGAGCAUGUUGUUGUUGGAAAUAGACCGCCUGGUCCCUACCCUUUGGUUCUGCAGCAUCUCCAGUGCUAUCAGAAGCAGCCUUCACACCCCAUCAUCUCAGUGCUCCCUGCUGGGUCCACUGUGAGCCACUCUGCCAAGAUCUGGCCCCACCUACACUGUCCACCACGGGUCCUCACUGCUCGCGGGAGGGCAUUGCCAUCUGUGGGGGGCCCCACACCUCCCAGGUAGGUGAGCCAUCCUCUGCAAAGUUCCAUCUGGAGGAUCUGAUUUAUGAAAAUAAAGCCCGGUUUGUGGUGGCACCAAUAGACUUAGGCUAUUGGCUUCUCUGGAAAUUAGAAGCCAAGUACAACAACAUUGUGCUCACAGUGAAUUUGGGAGGGUCAAGUCCAAGGUGGUAAGAAGGUGCCUGAAAGGGGGAGAGAGAGAGAGAGAGAGGCCCCUUUCAGUAACUUUACUAUUUGUUACAGCAAGGUAAUCAUUCACCAAGAGGCAGGAUGAGACCAAGGAUUGCCAAGAGCUACUUUUUCAGUGUUGCUGGUCAAUGUGCACAAAGCGGGAAUCACACACAGUUCGGGGCAAAGAUGACGUGAGGAAAGGCAUAAUAUCAGGAGCACUGAGUGACAGCGGGAAACCAGCGUUUAGACUCACCUGAGUUGCAGCCAGAUUUGGAAGAGCUACCCCACCCUAGGUUCUCAUGGAUUCCUGAGAAAUAUGACCGGAAGGACCUGGCACCUCCCAGCCUCAGCCCCAGCCCUCUGUGUACGUGUGGGUUUGUGGCCUCUGACUGCAGGGUCCACACUGCAGAUCUUAUUCUGGAAACUCUGGAGUUGGGACUUGAGACUGACUCUGCUAAUGAAUUGAAUAAAAUGCUUUAUUCCCAUAAAAUAUUAGCAAA